rnacentral:rRNA from 1 species
GUCCCUGCUCCUUGCACACGGGUUUUAGUCAGGCAACGAGCGAGACCCGCACCUCUAAUUGCCAGCAACACCCUUGUGGUGGUUGGGUACAUUAGGGGGACUGCCGCUGCCAAAGCGGAGGAAGGAACGGGCAACGGUAGGUCAGUAUGCCCCGAAUGAGCCGGGCUACACGCGGGCUACAAUGGCUGGGACAAUGGGAUGCCACCCCGAAAGGGGGCGCUAAUCUCCUAAACCUGGUCGUAGUUCGGAUUGAGGGCUGAAA